rnacentral:lncRNA from 1 species
AAGAGAAAACAUGUACCCAAUCUUUUAUAUAUAUUCUUCACUUUAAGCAUGGAAUCAUUAUAUUUAAAUAUACAAUUCCUUGCUUUAAGGCAUAGUCUUCAGAGUCGGAUCCAGGGAUGUUUAAAAAGGGGGGGGGGGUAAUUAACAAUAAAACUGAGUCUCAUCUAGCCCCAAGCAUCAUGUCAGGCAUUGUCAUUACUAAUGUCUUCUAAUCUGAGUAAAUUAAUUACUAAAAACUAUUAAAUGUCUUCUUAUCUGAGAAACAAUUUCGACAUUUAAACGAAAUCUUUUACUUAUGAUAAUGUUGAUUCUCCACAAAGUAAUAUAAAUAGAACCA